rnacentral:lncRNA from 1 species
UAUAUAUAUAUAUCUCGAGCAUGGAGGCUUUCGUGCUCAUAAAUCGUUUCUGAUGAUGGAAUUUUUGAAUUGACGAUCGAUUUCGUUAGACUUGAUCUACUAUAUUUGAAGUAUCUAGGAAAUAAUUUUUUUGAUUUUUCGAUAUCAUUCAGCUAGUAAUCAAAAGUGUUUGAAAUCAAUAAUUUUUAGUGAUUGUUCUGUGCCAUUUUCAAGUUUAAUGAUGUGAAAAUAUUAAAUCAGCUAAAUUUUGAUAGAAAAUUUUUUAUACUAUUUACAACAAAAUUAAUAUUUCUGAUCGAAAAUUCCAAUACUAAAUCACCACUUUUUGAGAGAUUUUUAUUUCCAGCAAUUGAUUUUGAUCUCUUUCGAUCACUAGGUAAAUAAUAUCGAAAAAUCGUAAAAUCUAUUUUCUAGAUAUUUCAGAUACGGUAGGUCAAGUCUGGCGGAGUUGAUCGUCGAUUCGAAAAUUUCGUCAUUGAAAACGGUUUAAAACUACGAAAACCUUCAUACUGCUAAGAGCACAGCAGCUCUGCUCUGUAUAUAAU